rnacentral:misc_RNA from 1 species
GUAGGUGAACCUGCGGAAGGAUCAUUACUAGAGCAAAGGACAGGCAGCGCCCCACAGAAGCUUGCUUCGUGGCGUGCUACCCUACUUCGGUAGGGUUUAGAGUCGUAGCACCUCUCGGAGAAGUGCUGUCCUGAACUCCACCCUUGAAUAAAUUACCUUUGUUGCUUUGGCGGGCCGCCUAGCGCCAGCGGCUUCGGCUGUUGAGUGCCCGCCAGAGGACCACAACUCUUGUUUUUAGUGAUGUCUGAGUACUAUAUAAUAGUUAAAACUUUCAACAACGGAUCUCUUGGUUCUG